GAGGUUGUGUGCUGGGAACGUUUUGCAGGAGGUCUGAAUCUUGUGCGGAUCACCCUUCAUCCAAACGUGUGGUGCAGAGGGGCGGGCGAGACCUCAGGACAGAGUCGGUGGUAAACCGAGCAGGUCUCGUCAGCCCCCACACACCAACAGUCCGGUGGCGCCCUUCGUACCUAAAAUGGCAAAUAGGCACUAGAAACACACGCAGAUGCUCUGUCCUCUCCCAGACACAGUCAGCCCUGACAGGGACCAAAUCUGGACAACGUUCUUGCUGUUGGUUUUGAUUUUUAGUCACAACACCCUUCACUCGUUUGUUGACUCUCUAUACUUGAUCAGAAAAUAAAAAUAAAAAACCAGAAUAACGGGGAAGGGAAUGUUAACAUGACUGUAAAACAUGAAACCUAUAGGAGGACCUCAGCCUCUCAGGAUGUGUGUUCUCGGCUUGCUCGAGGACAUGCUCUGUGUCCAGUCCAGGCGGCCGACCAGACCACCCCGGCUCCCGCGGCUCUCGACCAAGUGCCUGACCUCCUAGCCCCUCGCGCAGGCUCCCGGGGGCGGGACGGGAGGCCUGUGUGGACUGCGAGUGGGCUUUGUGGAAACUGCUGCAAACAGCAACUGAGUAGAAAGCGGAUGUAAUGGAGAACGUGCAGAAAACAUCCAGUAGGUCCGUCGCAGUUGGAAUGAAGCGGCCGUUUGCCCUUUUUCCUCGAACCAGUAGAGGCUGCAGGGCAUGUGUAGCAUGGCCCGCGUGGGCCGGUCAGUCUUUCUACACCCGAUUCUCAGGGACGGGGUGCCUGACAGGCAGGGCGCAAUCUCUGUAGUUGUGCAAAUUUCUUUUCACACAAGACUCAUCGGGGAGAGGCUGGUGGGAAGCGGGGGAGAUUGGAUGGGGUGGGGGCAGGAGGAGUGCCCGCGUCUGAGCAGAUGAGGGCAGCUGGGAACCAAACGGAAAUGAGGCCGGAGCUCGGGGGAAGGAGCAGCUCAGCUGCAGCUGCUGAGCUGGGCGUCUGAGCCCACACUCUUUCUGGCACAAGAGGUGGGAAAGCAGGCAGCCAAACGAAGUCCCGCUUCAGGGCCACAUUCAAAAAAGGCCACUGUUAGGACGUGGUGCAUAAAGCACUGGAGAGCCUCUGUUUUGUGAACAAAAGGAGCAUUUAGAUGAGUAGAUUCGGGUGUGUCCUCCGUAGUUUGAAAUGUGAGAUGAUCUCUUUGCUGGACCAUUUGAGUGUUCCCAUUGGCUUUUACCCCAUGAUUCUCCUAAAGGGACUUGGAGUGUGAUGUGUGUGUGUGCGUGUCUGUGUGUCCCUGUGAGUGGAUGCCGUUAACCCAUAGGGCUAUGCAACAAAAGACACACGUUUAAUAUUAGAAAUAAAACACACAAGACCGCCACCUGUUCUAGGGUUUGAGCAUGAUUGUGACCAAACCAUUUUAUAGAAUUUCCUUACUUGAAGGCACAACACUCUGAAACUUUAAAAUAACAGAGUAUUUUACUCAAGUAGGAUAUAAUUAAAAUCGGAAUCUCGGGCUGUGCAUGUCCUCCCUGGCUCCUGCUGCAGAGCAGAAGCUUGUGUAUUUUGGUAGAUGUUUUGUCUCUGGUCCCCCCGCCCACAUUAUUUUGAGUGUAUUCAUUCUGUGCAGAACCACAGCUGCUUCCCCAGGCCAUGUUGGGCAGAGAAUCCACUUUUCCGGACCCACACAGCCAUGCUGGCUUGUCUGGAUUCUUCUAGACACUGGAAUUGGUGAAAAUUACAGAGAGCGGGGGAUAUACUGCCUUGUUUUCCCGACUCUGCGUUUUGUUUCUGUACUGUCUCUUCUCAGCUGUCACGUUUCCCCCAAAAUCUCAUAGUGAGUUGCCAAAUUUGAAGAGCAUCAACCAGUUGUCUGCAUCUGGAACCAGUCAAGCAGUGGCUGUAGUUUGAAUAAGGUCUGUGUGCAUGUAAAAUAUAUACAUAUAUACAUAUAUUCAAGUAUGUGCAUGACAUGUAUAUCUUCGUACUUUUUGAUAAAAUGUAUUCAUUUGUUAAUUUUUAAUUAUAUUUGAUAUAAAUCAAGGGUUUGUUGCAAAACUUUAUAUUUAAGAACAGUGUUU
ensembl:lncRNA